rnacentral:rRNA from 1 species
CCUACGGGGGGCUGCAGUGGGGAAUAUUGCACAAUGGGCGCAAGCCUGAUGCAGCCAUGCCGCGUGUGUGAAGAAGGCCUUCGGGUUGUAAAGCACUUUCAGCGGGGAGGAAGGCGGUGAGGUUAAUAACCUCAUCGAUUGACGUUACCCGCAGAAGAAGCACCGGCUAACUCCGUGCCAGCAGCCGCGGUAAUACGGAGGGUGCAAGCGUUAAUCGGAAUUACUGGGCGUAAAGCGCACGCAGGCGGUCUGUCAAGUCGGAUGUGAAAUCCCCGGGCUCAACCUGGGAACUGCAUUCGAAACGGGCAGGCUAGAGACGUGUAGAGGGGGGUAGAAUUCCAGGUGUAGCGGUGAAAUGCGUAGAGAUCUGGAGGAAUACCGGUGGCGAAGGCGGCCCCCUGGACAAAGACUGACGCUCAGGUGCGAAAGCGUGGGGAGCAAACAGGAUUAGAUACCCGAGUAGUC